CGCGUGAGACUGUAAUUAGGUGUAGGUCAAGUUCUGAAUCUAAUCCAAUCCAAUAUAGAACCUCCGUGCGUGACAUAACCGUUCGCUGUUCUUCCGUACUCACUUCAUAUUCUUCAAUCGCAUAAAACCUACAAACCCUAACCCUAAUUCUCUCUCCAAUCAUGCCCUCCGAUGCACACGACUCUCGUCGCAAGCAUCGCCGAUCAUCCUCUCCCGAUGACCACGACAAAUCCUCCAAACGUCACAAGCACCGCCACCAUCAUCACCGCCACCGUCACGGAACCAAAAAACGCGACGAGGAAAUUCAAUUCGAUGAAGAAAUCGUAGCUGCGGUUCCUUCUCCUAAUCCCGCUCCGCGUAAUCAUCUCCAUGAGGAUGAUGUUGAGGAGGGAGAGAUUCUUGAUGACGAGGCUUUUGAGGUUGGAAAGAAGCAAAUUGAAUCCGAUGUUGAAGCUGGUGAAAUUGAGGUGAAGGAUCUUCGAUCUGAUAAGAAAAUUCCGGGACUUCUCGCUAAAAGUCCGAAAACUGAAAGCGAGGACUUUAACAAUGGUAAGGUUAUUAGUCCUACUUCUGAUGCAGAAGAUGGGAAAUGGCGUCAGAGCUACAUUGAUUCUCGAAUUCAUGAAGAUGAUGAUUCUCCAAACCACUCAAGAGCUGAAACUCAAGCUGGCGCUGAUGCUUUGGGCAAUGGGUAUUUAGAUGUUAAGUCUUCCAAAAGGGAUAAGAGACAGAAUGGGGUAGUUGAACAUUUUAAAGGAACUGAGAAACUAAAAGAUGAGGCACCGGAGGCUAAUAGAAGGGAGGUGAAUUCCCACAGGAAUUCCUCUGAAAGUGGGGAAGAAAAACAUAGAAUGUCAGGGAAUUCUCCUUUGCAUGAUGGAUACCGAAGUCGAUCAAGAUCAAUCGGUCGUACAAGGGACAGGUCUCGUUCUCGUAGUGUAGUAGAAGAGUAUGCUCAUCGCAAGAGCAGGCACUCUAGGGAACAAGGAUCCCUUUAUUAUACCAGCAGACAUAAGACUGACUAUGACCUUGACGAGGAAAGAGCGAGGGAAUACAGAAGGGAGCAUCAUCGUGGAAGUAAGGAUCUGGUGGAAGAUGAUAGACUGGAACACAGUACCAGGUACCACAGUCGGGAGGCCCGAGAUAGGGAUAGGGAUAAGGAUAGGAGUAGAGAUAAAGAUGUGGAUAGAGACUUGCACAGGGAAAAGAAGCGGGAGGAAACUAGCAAGAAUAAGGAGGUUGAUUGGGUGCGUAGAAGGGAAAAAGAACGUGGAAGGAGCCAUGAGAGGCAUAGAAAGGAUGUGGAAAAAGAUAGGAACAGGGAAAGUGACGAGGGUAGGGAUAGGAGAAGAGAAAAGGAAAGAGAUAGGAGCAGGGACACAGUUUAUGAGAGGGAUAGGAGAAGGGAAUUGGAAAGAGAUAUAAGUAGAGACAGACCAAGGGGCGGUGAUAGAGAGAGAGAUUGGAAGAGUGAAUGGGAUUAUAGGAAACGGGAAAGGGAUGAUAUUAAGGAGAGGGAAAGACGAGAUGAUAGAUAUCGGCACAAUGAUAAAGACGCUCCUAAUGUUAACGAUAAACAUAUGCGUCGGGAGGAUGAUAAUGACAGUGGAGAUAGAUAUAAAAAACAUUCAAGACAUGAAGAAAAUGGAUACCAUGCAGACAGGAAGCGAAACUAUACCAUGGAAGAGGAUGAAAGGAAACUAAAAGGCAACGAGGUUGAACAAGAUGAUGUAGAUGAGGAUAUAUUGGAAUUACCUGAGCAAGAAGAGGAAGAUCUGAACAGAAUCAAAGAGGAGAGUAGAAGAAGAAGGGAAGCAAUAAUGGAGAAAUACAAGAAGCAGAACCAGCAAAUAGAACAAGCAGCUGGAAAUGAAAGAAAAGACAAGGACUUGGAGAUUCAUGCUGACAUUUCUAAAUCAGUUGAUGGUAAGAGUGAUGAUGUUGAUGAUGCGGAACCAUCAUUUUCUGUUGGGAAAUCUCCACCGGAAAAUGUGGACGUUGGCUCAGAGAAGGUACCCGGUGCUGGGGGCCUAGGCGAGGGUACUCCAAAGAGCGAGAGGUCAGCUGACAAGUAUUGUGACGAUAUAUUUGGUGAGACACCAACUGGAGUUCGGAAGUCGGGAAAAGGAGAUGGGUUACUGAUUGAGAGGGUUGGGCUGCAUGACAAUUGGGAUGAUGCAGAGGGAUAUUACAGCUAUCGUUUUGGUGAAAUACUUGAUGGGCGAUAUGAAGUUACUGCUGCACACGGGAAAGGUGUCUUUUCAACAGUUGUACGUGCUAAGAAUCUAAAAGCUGGUAAUGGCGAGCCAGAUGAAGUAGCAAUAAAAAUAAUUCGUAAUAAUGACACCAUGUACAAGGCUGGUUUGGAUGAAUUGGUUGUUUUGAAGAAAUUAGUAGGUGCAGAUCCGGAUGAUAAACGUCAUUGUGUUCGUUUCCUUUCAAGUUUUAAGUACAGAAAUCAUCUAUGUUUAGUUUUUGAAUCUCUAAAUAUGAAUCUGCGUGAGGUUUUGAAGAAGUUUGGUCGCAAUAUUGGGCUUAGGCUAACAGCUGUGAGGGCAUAUGCAAAACAGCUUUUUAUUGCACUGAAGCAUCUCCGUAACUGUGGUGUUUUGCACUGUGAUAUAAAGCCUGAUAAUAUGUUGGUCAAUGAGGCUAAAAAUGUUUUGAAGCUUUGUGACUUUGGUAAUGCCAUGUUUGCUGGUAAAAAUGAAGUAACACCAUAUCUUGUGAGUCGCUUUUAUCGUGCCCCUGAAAUAAUUCUUGGCUUGCAGUAUGAUCAUCCGUUGGAUAUUUGGUCUGUAGGCUGUUGUUUGUAUGAAUUGUAUACAGGGAAGGUUCUUUUUCCAGGGCUCACAAACAAUGACAUGCUGCGACUUCACAUGGAAUUGAAGGGCCCUUUUCCAAAAAAGAUGCUUCGUAAGGGAGCAUUUACUGAACAACAUUAUGACCAGGAUCUAAGUUUUUAUGCUACUGAGGAGGAUCCUGUAACAAAAAAGACCAUUAAGCGGAUGAUUCUUAACAUAAAGGCGAAAGAUAUUGGAACAAUCAUCACUGGCUCUGGGGAGGAUCCAAAAAUGGUGGCCAAUUUUAAAGAUCUUCUGGAUAAAAUUUUCGUCUUGGAUCCGGAAAAGAGGUUGACAGUCUCACAAGCAUUGAACCACCCAUUCAUCACUGGCAAGUGACCAAUGUUGCAAAACUUGACUCCCGAAAUAAUAUUCACUGAUAUUUGUACAUAUUUAUCCAAUUGAUAUUAAGGUUCUAAUCAUGUGGCACUAUUUAUCUUCUCUGUACUGCCCAAGGAGUGUCAUCGCAGUUGUCAGCCUGUUGAAGUGAAAAAGUGUGAUGUCCCUAAAGGCGUCCACUUAACUGGCGGUUCUCAGUGGAGUGUACUGUUUCUAUUGGGACAUCACGGGUUUGAGGCUUCCCUCCCAUGCUUAGAUGCAUAAAAGGAACCCAGGAGAAGGUAUCUUGGUUUGUUUAUUGGGAGAUUAAAUUCGCCGUUUUAGAAUAGAUUAUAAUUUCCAUUAAAAUUUAUUAUCAAUGCCUAUAAAAUAGCUACAGCGUGUGAUGGAAAUACAUUAAGACGAGCCUGAAGGCUCUUUUUUGAGUCAUGAAGAAAGUUAAUAGUUGUUGUAGCUAGGUAUAUAAAUUAAGAGUAGUGGUUAGUGUUGAAUCUGCAUUUUCAUCCAGAUGUAGGUUCCAGUACUGCGCAAAUGCCUAAUUGCUUAGUUAACCAGAUCUUCUGCCAUAGUCAUGGCUUGAGUUGGACAUAGAUAUUCAAUUUAAUAAGCUGCACUUGAGCAUCUCUUUUUAUCCGAUGUUUUUUGUUAUUAUUUUCUUAAGUUUGCCUUUCUGUAUCCUAAUGGAUUAAUGUUGUAUUUUAUCCAUGGCGGGUCAUUCUGGAGGCAUUUCUACUGGAUGUUUGGCUGUGUUCUUGAAUUGAAGCAUAUUCUUAUCUCGGUGGAUGUAUUAUGCUCCUGCAAUUUUUGUAAGUUUAUUGAAAUCCAAUUCCUUUCUCAUCUGUCAGUAUUAAUUAAUGGCUUUGAUGGUCCAUGGCAUCCAGUUUCCUAUGAUGAUAAUACAGUUAUCACAUCUGUUUUUGGAUGUUGAUGUCUUGCAAAUUUGCAAGGAUUUUCAGUUUUUUUACCAAAUGCAGAUAUGUUCUUUCUUCUCACUUAUAUAUAUGCAUGGCAUUCUUGGUUGGUUCCUUCUGUUUUCUGUAAUUCAAUGCUCCCAAUCUUAUCAACUUGUUCAGUGGUCAGUCUCGUACUUUUUUUCUCAACAAUCUGUGAUGACAAUAUGAAUUCCCUUCAUUUUUUUUAUGAGUGGUUUUUCUUUUUCCGGAAAAUUCAUUUCUUGAAGCAAACAAACAUAUUUUUUUUGAAAUGAGACCAUGCUUGGGCGUGGAUGUGUUAUGCAACUAAAAUUUUAUCUAGUCUAGAAGUAGUGAGGAUGGGGAAAAGAACAUGGUUAUUUGAUGAUGAUGUGUCCUUACCCAAGGUAGAUAACUAUUUGAAGUAAAUAAACUUCUUCCCUAAAUGCCUAUGUACAAUUAACCUUCUACUAACAACUCUUUUAUUUAUUAACUAAAAAUAACUUCUCUUUCGUUGUCCCAUUUUCUCCCUAGGUACACAAUCCAUCCUUUCUCCGUUGAUUGCACCUUGGUCCUAACAUUACCACCAGCUUGAGCUGCAACAUUAUCCCUAAGGUUGAAUUUUAGGAUCUGGUUUUUAAUAGUCCUGGUACUGGUAUCCUCUUAAGCAGCAAUAGUAAACAACUAAAAGACACUUAAUGCAAGAAUCUCUCAACAAGUUAUAUUCCUGACAGGACUCCCGUAAACAGUUACAAGAAAAUGCUAAGAACUUCCUCUAUUAAUUCCUAACUGAUAUUUAUAAUAUCCCUGUGUUAUUUGAACCAUCACCAACGGUGAAUCUGCCUUUGUAGCAGUGUCCUAGAACUGCAUGUCUGCAUCCACAAUUUAAAAACUGCCUUAUACUAAUUUUGAACAUGCACUUCUCCCACUUCUCCCACUUCUCCUAAUCAGCCUGCAGAACUAGAUAGAAUGGUUGCUGUUGACUUGUUUAGAAACUUCCAAGUCUGGCCUUCCAAGUCACUUAUUUAAGGAAAAUGCCACCUUUAAAUAAUGAAAUUGAAAAGAGGUAAUAGUGAAAUGAAUUUAGUUAAGAGAAGUCACUUAAAUAUAGACGUGCCCUCCUUCAGUUUCCUCUUAGAAUUGCCUGACCUUUUCCGUCACCUGCUCCACCUAUCUUUUUGAGUCAUGGCAUAAUUCACUACAGAUCUCAGUGUUGUACGUGCAAUUUUUGGGAACAUGAUUUAGUUUUGCUCUAGGUAGUCAAUAGCGGUGUUUAGCGGUGCUAUCACUCUGGAGCGUGGUGGUGCAGUUGCUGCCCAUGGCGGAGUGGUUCGGUGCGGCAAGUAUUAAAGUUGCUGCUAUUCUCUGCGUGUUCGUAGGUUGCAUAGCGUGUUUCGCAAAUGCACAUGUGAUUUGGCUGGGGAAAAACCAGCGUGGUGGCUAUUCUACCAAAAAAAACCCAGACUGGCCUUACUUUUUAAAUGCUGUGGGGGUAUUUUGCGGUUUUUGCACAUGAACCUUAGUCCUCUUCUCUGCGCUCGCAGAGAACAUUUGUCUUCCCUCUUCUGCGAGCCAGCAGAGCACCAACGUCCAGCUUCCGCAAGCCACCAGAAUCUUGUUUUCUCCUUUGUUUUCAGUUUCCUUCGUUCUUGUUUUCCUACCUGUUUUGUCUUGUCUUCUUUUAUUUUUUAUUUUUCCUCCUGUUUUUUUCCACCUCAUGUUUCAUUAUUUUUGUUUUACACCUCUGUUUCGUGAAGAUUAGCCUUAAAGACUGACUUGGGCUUCUUUGUUUCCCUAACUUCUGUUGAUAUUUAAGUCUAUGUUUUGAAUAAGACUUGAUGAUUUUUUAUUGCUGAUUAUGAAUUGAGUUUUUAGUUAUUUGCUUAACUUCACAUUAAAUAUUUAUUUAUAGUAUUAUUCAUCUAAUUUGUCAAAUUUUUUUAUCAAAUAUCUGUCACCCCGCUACUGGAAAGGAUUGCCUCCAAUUUUUUCUCUCAUGUUUCUCUAGUAGAGAAAUCAUCACCCUUUUUCUCUCAUGAAGGUUUGUUGUAUUGGAUUUUAGAAUCAGCUUGAGUGAAGCAUACAUUAUAGUGUUAACAAGCUAUUUGAUUGAAAUCAAAUCAAAUCAUACCAAUUACUAAUGUCUCUGAUCCAUUUAUGAAACAAGGAGGUGUAUUCUUAAAACAAGAUUUAUUAGACUGAGCAUUUGCAUUUCCUGGGGCAUAGUAUGAAGUUCUGUAAACAAAAAUGGUAUAGUAUUACUAUUACAUUUCCAAAAUGUGUCUGGGAUCAAAUUCCGGCUUCUUUGGCAUACACUCAGCCAUGAUGUUGUCAUGCACUAUUCACAAUGGUAGGUACUCUGCUUGUUCAAACAUGAACAAGAACCUAUUCACAAUGGUAAGUACUCUGCUUGUUCAAACAUGAACAAGAACCUAUUCACAAUGGAGUAUUUUCUGGAGUUUUUUUUUUCUUCUUGACUAACAUUUAACUUUACUAAUUUGUUUACAAUGGUUAUUUUUCCUGAUCCGAUGGAUUUCAAUUGAGGGAGACCGAGAACUUUGAGAUUAACUUGGAACUAAAUUGGUGGCAGCUGCAUUUGCUUGCUUGCUUUCAAAUAAAUAUUGUCCUAUUGCCUUCCCAUAAAGACAAGCAUCUUAUAUAUUCGGAUACUCUGCGUUGGUUAAUAAAUUUUUUGUAAUAUGUAUGCCAAAAAAAUCGUCAUAUGUUAACGAACCUUCCUUGGGUGGUUAACUUCCCUUCCCCAGAACAACUUCAAACCUUGCCAUGAAGUACGAUGCCUUCAAAUUCAAUUAACACACUUAUGUACCCAAACAGCGAAGACUAUACAAUUAAAAUAGCUCUGUCUUCUACUCCCUGCUGGACUGCUCAGCGACAAUCCCCGAGAAUGGAUGUUGAUAUUUUUUUAUUUUUUAUUUUUGAAGAAUAGAUGUUGAUCUUGAAGACAAUGUUUUCACCAAUUGGAUGCCAGAAAUUAAAGCACCCAUUAAUAGAAUGUGGAAAACGAGUUUUAUACUUGUUCUUGUUUUCUUAUUCAAUCAUCACUAUACUAUUACAACACUAA